rnacentral:ncRNA from 1 species
AGCUUUGGAGAAUCCCAUUAAAUUGGGUGCCGAAGGGGCAAGCAGGAAGCGAAACUCUCAGGCAAAAGGACAAAGAGG